CGGCGAGUGAAGCGGCAACAGCUCAAAUUUGAAAUCUGGCCUCUUUUAGAGUCCGAGUUGUAAUUUGCAGAGGGCGCUUUGGCUUUGGCAGCGGUCCAAGUUCCUUGGAACAGGACGUCACAGAGGGUGAGAAUCCCGUACGUGGUCGCUAGCUAUUGCCGUGUAAAGCCCCUUCGACGAGUCGAGUUGUUUGGGAAUGCAGCUCUAAAUGGGAGGUAAAUUUCUUCUAAAGCUAAAUAUUGGCCAGAGACCGAUAGCGCACAAGUAGAGUGAUCGAAAGAUGAAAAGCACUUUGGAAAGAGAGUCAAACAGCACGUGAAAUUGUUGAAAGGGAAGCGCUUGCAGCCAGACUUGCUUGCAGUUGCUCAUCCGGGCUUUUGCCCGGUGCACUCUUCUGCAGGCAGGCCAGCAUCAGUUUGGGCGGUGGGAUAAAGGUCUCUGACACGUUCCUUCCUUCGGGUUGGCCAUAUAGGGGAGAAGUCAUACCACCAGCCUGGACUGAGGUCCGCGCAUCUGCUAGGAUGCUGGCGUAAUGGCUGUAAG
rnacentral:rRNA from 1 species